rnacentral:piRNA from 1 species
UGCCUCUCGGUAGUUUGGUGCAUGCCCAAGU